rnacentral:rRNA from 1 species
UACAGAGGUCUCAAGCGUUGUUCGGAUUCAUUGGGCGUAAAGGGUGCGUAGGUGGCGGGGUAAGUCAGGUGUGAAAUCUCGGAGCUCAACUCCGAAACUGCACUUGAUACUGCCUUGCUCGAGUACUGGAGAGGAGAUUGGAAUUUACGGUGUAGCAGUGAAAUGCGUAGAUAUCGUAAGGAAGACCAGUGGCGAAGGCGAAUCUCUGGACAGUUACUGACACUGAGAGACGAAAGCUAGGGGAGCGAAUGGG